CACUUAUAGCGCUAAUAUUGGCCCCUGUGAUAGGAGACGAAGGAUGGGUGUUCGACCUCCUGUUCGGAGCAGAGUGCUGCUUCAACCUGAUUUGGGACGUCAUCUUGUUCAAAGCCCUUCGUAGGAGGGACAAGAUAGUGCGCACACUGCUAUGGUUCCUGC
rnacentral:lncRNA from 1 species